GAUGAACGCUGGCGGCGUGCCUAAUACAUGCAAGUCGAGCGAACAGACGAGGAGCUUGCUCCUCUGACGUUAGCGGCGGACGGGUGAGUAACACGUGGAUAACCUACCUAUAAGACUGGGAUAACUUCGGGAAACCGGAGCUAAUACCGGAUAAUAUAUUGAACCGCAUGGUUCAAUAGUGAAAGACGGUUUUGCUGUCACUUAUAGAUGGAUCCGCGCCGCAUUAGCUAGUUGGUAAGGUAACGGCUUACCAAGGCGACGAUGCGUAGCCGACCUGAGAGGGUGAUCGGCCACACUGGAACUGAGACACGGACCAGACUCCUACGGGAGGGAGCAGUAGGGAAUCUUCCGCAAUGGGCGAAAGCCUGACGGAGCAACGCCGCGUGAGUGAUGAAGGUCUUCGGAUCGUAAAGCUCUGUUAUUAGGGAAGAACAAAUGUGUAAGUAACUAUGCACGUCUUGACGGUACCUAAUCAGAAAGCCACGGCUAACUACGUG
rnacentral:rRNA from 1 species